GCUGGGCACGGUGGCUCAUGCCUGUAAUCCCAGCACUCUGGGAGGCCAAGGUGGGAGGAUCACCUGAGGUCAGGAGUUCGAGACCAGCCUGGCCAACAUGGUGAAACCCCAUCUUUA
rnacentral:SRP_RNA from 1 species